rnacentral:rRNA from 1 species
GGGGGGGGGGGGGGGGGGGCGGGGGGGGGGGGGGGCGGGGGGGGGGGCGGGGGGGGGGCUGGCGGCGGGUGGGGCACGGGGGGGUGGGGUAGCGGAACGUGCCCGGUAGCGGGGGGUGACUGCGCGAAAGCGGGGCUACUACCGCCGCCGCCCGGCGGGGGCGUGCAGGGUAUCGUCCGGUCUUGCCCUGUAGUAGCAGCCGAUAUCGGAUUCGCUAGUGGGGGCGGUCACGGCUGACCAACGCGACGCUCCGGCGCUGGUCUGAGAGGACGACCAGCCACACUGGAACUGAGACACGGCCCAGACUCCUACGGGAGGCAGCAGUGGGGAAUUUUGGACAAUGGGGGCAACCCUGAUCCAGCCAUCCCGCGUGUGCGAUGAAGGCCUUCGGGUUGUAAAGCACUGUUGGCAGGAAAGAAACGUCGCGGGCUAAUCCCCCGUGGAACUGACGGUACCUGCAGAAUAAGCACCGGCUAACUACGUG